AAACGACUCUCGGCAACGGAUAUCUAGGCUCUUGCAUCGAUGAAGAACGUAGCGAAAUGCGAUACUUGGUGUGAAUUGCAGAAUCCCGUGAACCAUCGAGUUUUUGAACGCAAGUUGCGCCCAAAGCCAUUAGGUUGAGGGCACGUCUGCCUGGGCGUCACAU
rnacentral:rRNA from 2 species